UGGAACGUCCAGAUAUUGUGCCAGCGUUUGCGCGAGCAACGUCUUACCAGAACCUGUAGGACCAAGCAACAUUAUGUUGCUCUUUUCCAGCUUGAGUUGAGUAACCUGGAGUUCGAUUUCUGAAAAAGUAUUUUCAAUGUCUAACCUUUCUGCAUGGAAUAAUGAUUUGUUUCCUGUGUAUUGAUUGGGUCAACGUUAGCUUGUGCCCGCGAGUUUUGGGCUGGCAAAUUGUUGCAAAUCCGCUUGUAAUGAUUGUAAACUGCAACGCUUAGCACUUUUUUAGCGUAUUCCUGACCCACAACGUGUCUGUUCAGGUACUCGAAUAUCUACAAAUAUCAUAUUAUUGUUUUUUGUACUAAAACUAAAACAGAUAUAUUUGAAAUGUAUUUAAGUUUUCACAUAUUCCUAGCCUACAACUUGGCUGUUUAGAUAUUUGAAUAUCUGCAAAGUAACGCAUAAUUGCAUCAUUUUUUCUUGUAUUAAAGCUAAAGAAAGAAAGUCUGUCUGUAUCUUUUAUAUCUGAGUUAUGAUUUUAACUUUUUAGAUAUAAAUAUCAAGGAAUUGUUAGUUUCACUUUCAUUAAUAUUAUUACUAGUAUUAUAAUAAUACAUAUAAAUUAAAUAAGCAAAAUUAGAACUAAUUACUUUUUUUGGAGAUGGUAGAGGCUUCUUGUAGAAUGCUUGAUUUUUAUCUUCUGGGCUAUGUGCCUUUUCCAAACUUCUCUUUGAGUAAAUUUCUGACAUUUUUCUGUUUUUAUAUUACUUUUUCUUUUAUUUAUCCUUAUUGAAAAAUAAAUAUAAAUACAAUAACAA